rnacentral:rRNA from 1 species
UACGGAGGGUGCAAGCGUUAUCCGGAUUUACUGGGUUUAAAGGGUGCGUAGGUGGGCAGGUAAGUCAGUGGUGAAAUCUCAGAGCUUAACUCGGAAACUGCCAUUGAUACUAUCUGUCUUGAAUAUCCUGGAGGUAAGCGGAAUAUGUCAUGUAGCGGUGAAAUGCUUAGAUAUGACAUAGGACACCAAUUGCGAAGGCAGCUUACUACGGGAUUAUUGACACUGAGGCACGAAAGCGUGGGGAUCAAACAGG